rnacentral:lncRNA from 1 species
UGAUCCUGCAGGUACACAGGUGAAUUUUCAGCUCACCUGCUGGAUUGGACCUCUCAGAAUGGUUGGGUGUCCUUGUAUUUAACUUCUAGACCAUGCUGGGCAGUUUGGGUAUGUGAGAUGGGGGAUGCUGGCAGCCUAGGUAACUUUUGACACUGAGGUCCUUCAACAGUUUAGGUAGAAGCAGAGCAGUGGUCCUUGGAGCAUAGCUUGAUGGUACUACUUUGUACCGCCAAAGGACGUGAUGUGGCACAAGGACGACCCAUUAGAUUCUAUUUGACCCACUAAUUACACUUGAGAUUUGGAAGAAUUUGAAGACUUCUACUUGGCAACUACCCAUGAGACUGCAAUUUGAGAAAGCUUCUUGACAAGAAAAACGAUCCGUAAGACCAUUUCUGCUGCAUAACUGGACAGGGAGAGGGAUUAAAAUCUGUGUUCACAGGCUGAGAGCAGGUGUCUGCGAUGAGAUCCCAUGCUGUGACAUGCAUGCAGCACAUUCUUACAUGAAAAGCCCUGGCUGAUGAAGUGACCACAGGAAGACAACACGGAACCCUCCUGGCAGGAUCAGAAGAAGCUUAAUUAAGCUCUGUGGUUAAUGUUAAAGUGAGUGUGUGCCUGUUUCAGAUGAGC